rnacentral:rRNA from 1 species
GACGUAGGAGGCGAGCGUUGUCCGGAUUCAUUGGGCGUAAAGGGCGCGUAGGCGGCUUGGCAAGUGGAUGGUGAAAUCCCUCGGCUUAACCGAGGAACUGCCGUCCAAACUGCUUCGCUUGAGACCGGGAGAGGUGAGUGGAAUUCCCAGUGUAGCGGUGAAAUGCGUAGAUAUUGGGAGGAACACCAGUGGCGAAGGCGGCUCACUGGACCGGUACUGACGCUGAUGCGCGAAAGCGUGGGGAGCAAACGGG